AUCAAAAACAUGUCUUUUAGUUUAAAAUUAAAGGUCUGGUCUGCUCAAUGAGAAUUAAAUAGCUGCAGAAAUUUUAACUGUACUAAGGUAGCAUAAUAAAUUGUUUAUUAAUUGUAAACUUGAAUGAAUGAUUUAAUAAAAUAUUUACUGUUUUUAAUAAAUUAAAUUUAAUUUAAUUUUUAAGUUAAAAAGCUUAAAUAUUAUAAAGGGACGAGAAGACCCUAUAGAUUUUAAUAUUUUAUAUAUAAAAUCUUUUUAUUUUUUAAAUAUUUUAUGUAUAAAAUAUUUAAAUGGGGUUUUUUAAAAAUAAGAAAAUUUUUUAAAAUUUUUAACAAUGUUAAUUGAUGAAUUAAUAAUUAAAAGAAUAAUAUUUAGUUUUUUAAGAUAAAAAUACCUUAGGGAUAACAGCAUAAUAAUUUUUUUAAAUC
rnacentral:rRNA from 1 species